AUAUUAUAGCGGUUUUAAGAAAAACGCUAUUAAAAGUUAAUUACAAUAGUUCUCCAAUAACCGCUAUUAAAGCCUUCUGUUCUUUUCUGGAAACUAAACACCUCUUUUGUUCCUCAGCAAAACGUUCAAGUCCUAUCACUCUCUUUAACAGUUGAAAAGCAAGCCCUAAUUCCUCGAAACCUCAAUUUGUCUUAACGCUUUUUCGGUUCAUCUAUUCUUAUCAUCAUUUAUAUAUCAAGGGGUUGAGUUUUUCUUUGAGCUUUUAAAUUGAAAUCAAACGGUUUUUAGAAUUGAAUUUCCAAUUUUUACUAUGUAUUGAUCUAUAUAUAAUUAUUUCUUAUAGAAUUUAUUUUGAGUUUGGCAGAUCUAAAUCUUCAAACCGAAGCUUAUGGCAUAAAAAAGGUAUAUAAAUUAUGCACAUCGUAUCUCAAUUUUUUAGGGGUUAUUAGGUUUUGGAUUGGUGAGACAAUUUCCAAAAUUAUCAGUCGAAAUUAUUGUAAUUGGUUGCGAAUGCUAUACUUGAUGGUUGGAAUUUGCCAUUAUUGGUGGUGAAUUCGGUGUUAAAUUGGGGUUGCUGCAUUUAAGAUUGCUGAAUUGAACUGCUGUUGUUUGGGCGUCGAAGGAGACGAGGUGCGGUUAGACUACCGGUGGCCGGCGCUAAUUGGUGAGGAAAGAGCUGCGUACUUUUCAGAUUGCCAGCUCUCAAGUUACAAUCAAAUUCAGAUUGGUGAAGUGAGAACUUAGUGGGUGCGCUAUGUAGCUCUCAAGUUACGAUUAAAUUCAGAUUGGUGAAGUAAGAACUUAGUGAGUGCGCUAUGUAGUCCAGCAAAUGUAGCUAGGUUGAAGGAAUCAACAAUUUAUAUGUUCGUUUUUGCAUAUUUGAUUUAAUUUCUUUUUUU